UCAUAUGUACAUUCCUAUAACAUUAAUGCAUUGGAUCUCAUUAUAAUCCACAAUUAAGUGUGAUUGGGAUAGAGUAGUACUGGGAUGGGCGACCUCCAAAUAAGUCUUAGUGUUUUACAUGCC
rfam:Picea glauca, whole genome shotgun sequence.